rnacentral:ncRNA from 1 species
GAUGGAACAAUGUAGGCAAGGGAAGUCGGAAAAAUGGAUGCGUAACUUCGGGUAAAGAAUUGUUUAUGACGGUUUUGGCAUGGGUCCCAGUCCCGAACCCACUGGCUAUCGGUGGACUGCUUGAGCUGAUCCCGCAGAAAUAGCGGGUCGCCGUGUGCUGGCAAGGGGACGGACUGGGAACGGUUCCUUCGGGGGCCUUCCUUGGGAGUCAAACAGCCAACUCAGAACUGGUACUGACAAGGGGAAUAUGACUAUUUAAUUAAAACAAAGCAUUGCGAUGGUCCCAACGGAUGUUUACGCAAUGUGAUUUUUGUCCAGUGCUGUAAAUGUCAAAGUGAAGAAAUUCAACCAUCCGGGGGUAAAUGGCCGGAGUAACUAUGACUCUUUUAAGGUAGCCAAAUGCCUCGUCAUCUAAUUAGUGAUGCGCAUGAAUGUAUUAACAAGAUUCCCACUAUCCCUCUCUAAUAUCCAGUGAAACCACAGCCAAGGGAACAGGCUUGGCAGAAUCAGCGGGGAAAGAAGACCCUAUUGAGCUUGAGUCUAGUCCGACUUUGUGAAAUGACUUGAGAGGUGUAGCAUAAGUGGGAGUCGAAAGGCGAAAGUGAAAUAUCACUACUUUUAAUGUUAUUUUACUUAUUUUGUGAAUCGGAAGCGGGGGACUACCCCUCUUUUUGGACCCAAGGCUCGCUUUGCGGGACGAUCCGGGGGGAAGACAUUGUCAGGUGGGGAGUUUGGCUAGGGCGGCACAUCUGUUAAAAGAUAAUGCAGGUGUCCUAAGAUGAGCUCAACGAGAAUAGAAAAAUUGUGUGGAUCAGAAAGAUAAAAGCUCGUUUGAUUUUGAAUUCUAGUACGAAUACGAACCGUGAAAGCGUGGCCUAACGAUCCUUUAGACCUUCAGAAUUCUAAGCUGGGGAGUUAGAAAAGUUACUACAAGGAUAACUAGCUUGUGGCAGCCAAGCUAUAUAGCGAAGUUUAUUUUUUAUCCUUCGAUGUCGUCUCUUCCUGUCAUUGUGAAGCAGAGUUCACCAAGUGUUGGAUUGUUCACCCACCAAUAAGGAACGUGAGCUGGAUUUAGACCAUCGUGAGACAGGUUAGUUUUACCCUAGUGAUGACAGUGUCGCAAUAGUAAUUAAACCUAGUAAGAGAGAAAUCGUUGAUUCACAUAAUUGGUCAUCACGGUUGGUUGAAAACCCAGUGGCGCGAAGCUACCAUGUGCUGGAUUAUGACUGAACACCUCUAAGUCAGAAUCCAGGUAAGAAGCAAUGCAUAUGCCCGCCAUCCGCUUGCUGACCCGCAGUAGGGGCCUUCGGCCCCCAAGGGAACGUUUUGUUAGCUAAGUCACCACGACGGAAGCGUCGCGGUGACCGCCUUGAAGUACAAUUUCCAUCGAGCGGUGGGUAUAAUCCUUUGCAGAAGACAUAAAUACGCGAUAGGUAUUGUAAGUGGAAGAGUGGCCUUGCUGCCACGAUCCACUGAAAUACAACCCUUUUUCACUCCGAUUC